rnacentral:rRNA from 1 species
GAUGGGAGCUUGCUCCCUGAAGUCAGCGGCGGACGGGUGAGUAACACGUGGGCAACCUGCCUGUAAGACUGGGAUAACUUCGGGAAACCGGAGCUAAUACCGGAUAAUGCUUUUGGACUCAUGUCCUUAAGCUGAAAGAUGGUUUCGGCUAUCACUUACAGAUGGGCCCGCGGCGCAUUAGCUAGUUGGUGAGGUAACGGCUCACCAAGGCAACGAUGCGUAGCCGACCUGAGAGGGUGAUCGGCCACACUGGGACUGAGACACGGCCCAGACUCCUACGGGAGGCAGCAGUAGGGAAUCUUCCGCAAUGGACGAAAGUCUGACGGAGCAACGCCGCGUGAGUGAUGAAGGUUUUCGGAUCGUAAAACUCUGUUGUUAGGGAAGAACAAGUACCGGAGUAACUGCCGGUACCUUGACGGUACCUAACCAGAAAGCCACGGCUAACUACGUGCCAGCAGCCGCGGUAAUACGUAGGUGGCAAGCGUUGUCCGGAAUUAUUGGGCGUAAAGCGCGCGCAGGCGGUCCUUUAAGUCUGAUGUGAAAGCCCACGGCUCAACCGUGGAGGGUCAUUGGAAACUGGGGGACCUGAGUGCAGAAGAGGAGAGUGGAAUUCCACGUGUAGCGGUGAAAUGCGUAGAGAUGUGGAGGAACACCAGUGGCGAAGGCGACUCUCUGGUCUGUAACUGACGCUGAGGCGCGAAAGCGUGGGGAGCGAACAGGAUUAGAUACCCUGGUAGUCCACGCCGUAAACGAUGAGUGCUAAGUGUUAGAGGGUUUCCGCCCUUUAGUGCUGCAGCAAACGCAUUAAGCACUCCGCCUGGGGAGUACGGCCGCAAGGCUGAAACUCAAAGGAAUUGACGGGGGCCCGCACAAGCGGUGGAGCAUGUGGUUUAAUUCGAAGCAACGCGAGAACCUUACCAGGUCUUGACAUCCUCUGACACUCCUAGAGAUAGGACGUUCCCCUUCGGGGGACAGAGUGACAGUGUGCAUGGAUGUCGUCAGCUCGUGUCGUGAGAUGUUGGGUUUAAGUCCC